GUACGCAAAGUAUGCAUUCGUCAAAAUAAUUGGUUUUGUGUUGUAACUUUACUUUAUUCAUACUUCAUGAUCAUAUUAAAUUUAUUUUUUUUUCCCAUGUCAACCUUGAAGAACAGUAUUCGGAAAAAAUAUUCAAGUGGUUAUUAUAAUAUGAAUCUAUUUGUUAGAAAUUAAAACAUCUUAAAUUACGCCUGUAUUAUUAUGGUGAAAGCAACAUAAUUGACACGACAGUGACCAUUUUCUUAUCAGUGGUGAACGAGCCAACUAUAAUGGAGCUAUCUUCACAGACAUCCAUAGUCCACGGUCAAAGGGCGUGUUCACACUCAACGAUGUUAUCGACCGAUAUUGUCGUCGGCGGCGGGGAAC